UUUUUUUUCUGCACGAUUUUGAAGUUUAGAAAGCCAAAGUCAUGGCUUUUACAUUCGGCCAAGCUUAGAUUCUCAAUUAGGGUAUGGUCUUUAUUCCGUUUUUAAUAAUUUUUACGUUUUUGAGAUCGUUGCUUUGUAUUCUAGUUAGCCCGUACCUCAAUUUCUGAAAAUUUUGAUGAUUUUGAAAUGUGCCAUUGUUGAAUACUAGUAUAUUUUGAAGUAUUAUGCUAGAUUAUUGAUGGAUAUUGAAAUAUAUACAAGUUUUAUAAAGUAAAUUUUGACAAAAAUGAGCAUUAGGGAUUUAAUUAAAAAAAUAGAAAUAUUAUGUUAGAAAUGUGAAAUAAAUGAAAAUAUGGGUUGAUUAGAAGAUAUAUAGUAUUCGGCUAAGAAUACGUAUAAAGAAAUUUCAUAUAUUUUGUGUAUUUGUGAAUUAGGAUCAAGAUAAACAAAUACCGGAACUUGAUCGGGGGAAACAAAAGUUAGACGGGUAGACGAAAGUAUUCGAGCAAAUACGAGGUAAGUUCGUGUAGCUAGAAUUGAAUUAUUAAAUAUUUGUAAUUGUCCAAAAAUGAAUGUAUGUAAGUUGAAUGAAUGAUCCACUUGAAUUUUAAAUUACCGAUAUACUAUUAUAUUACUGUUUACAUGAAUGCAAAUGAAAUGUUACAAAUACUAUAUACGUUAUAUAGAUUUGGUAUAAUAAUAGGCAUUGAAUAUGAAAUUUUGAGUAUUUAAAUGUAUGUAUUUAAUUAUAUUAAAUAUAUAUACACAUAUGAAUUGAGAAAUUGAGCUAUUGAUUUUUCUUUGCUUAAUUGAUGAAAUUGGAUAAUACCGAGCCCGUUUGAACUUUAGAAAAUCGUCGGAUACGAGUGACUUGUCACUAGGGUUACCGUUUGGUCGAGCUCCUGCAUUUGUUGCGGACUCACCACAGCUUGUAUGAGCUUACCGUUUCAGCUCUACGGAGCUUACCGUUUCAGCUCGAUAGAGCUUACCGUUUAUCAGCUCGGAAUGACCUUACCGAUUAUGGCUCGAAAGAGCGAAAAUGACAAUGAAUUGACGAAUUUCUGAUAAAUACACUUAUAGUAUAUCACCCGUGUAUCCCUCGAUGUUCUAAUAGGUUCAACGGGCAUAAUUACUGUUACUGAUAAUAUGAAUAAAUUAUAUAAUUAUUUGGAUGAAUUACCAUUGAUAUGUAUAAGUUACUAUUGAUACGGAAAAAUUUUUGUUAUUACUGAUGAAUUACAGGUUACACGAAUAGGAUGGAAUUGAUAUAAAUGCUAUAUGAUUUACAUGAAUUAUUUGUUUUAUGAAUAUAUGAAUUAUAGGGACGACAUGAUAUAUUUAGCUAUAUGACUAACUCGUGGAUGGUAAUGUGAAUAGACUUUGUGGACAAAUGAGUUGAUUUUAAUUGUUUUAAAUGCUUAAAUGUUAAAUUGGUAAGUUUAAUUUUAUAUUAUACGGCUUACUAAGCUUAAUGCUUACUUCAUUUAUUUUCUUAUGUUCUAUAGAUUUCGAAAGCUAGCUCGAUUUUGGACUAGGUCGGAGAUUUGCUAUCACACUAUCCAAACGAUUUUUGGUACUUUUGGACCUUAUGUAAAUAAUGUAAAUAUGACAUGUAUAGUUAAUUUUUGGUAUGAAUUUUGGGGUUUGAUCAAACUAUGUGAUAUGGCUUGAGUUGGAAAUGUUCAAUUUAGAAUGGAA
rnacentral:lncRNA from 1 species